rnacentral:lncRNA from 1 species
GCCCCCCAGAUAUAUUUUUUGAGAUUUUAUAAAUGCAGUGAUGAAAAAUGGCCAUGACUUUCCAUGAUAUAAAUAAUAUGUCAAUGGAGAAGGCUCUGAAAUUAAAAAACUUGCAGGGAACCGUAUCCCAAGAUUAUUUCUAAAUGAACAAUAAUCAUGAGAAAAAUUUCCUUUAAAUAUUUGAAAUGGUCUUAUUACAUCUUAAAGUUGCAUCUUCUCUUUGACCUGGAUCCACCAUGUCAAACACUGCAUGCUGAUGUACGUUAACUAGAAUUCAGUUUUAUUGUGCAUGCCACGCCAAAUAAAAUGGAACAUUUUUGAUUCUCAUUUGGUCUGAAUUGCUAUCUAGGAAGCAAGAUUAAAUCUAUUAACUUAUUUUUUGAGCAGUCAAAAAAUUUAUGGCUAGCACUAGUCCAAGAUGGCAGUCUCUCUGUUGAAAGAGAAAAGUGGAUAAUUGUGCUGAAUAGUAGAAUCAGCACAGCUGAAGGGCGUUCUGGGCAGCAGCUCUAUUGAAUCAAUGAACUCUCUGAAAGUGAUUGAUCAAUCACCCCAGAUUGUGUAGUAACCCCUUGCUGAUUUAGCAACAAGAAGAGACAAAAAUAUCCUGGAGCAGUCUUGACAUCCAAUUUAAUGGAACCAUGACUAUGUUUCCUAGUGGAAGCAUUUUUCCCUUGGGAACAGAACUAGCUCAUUGAGUUCAACACUAUAGGAACACAGAGGGAAAGCGCUCCAGCAGAUUAUUUGGCUUUAUGGAGAGAAAUUCCUGUUUCUCUUGAUUGUCGGAGCGGUGCGGUCCAGUCAUGGCAGAAAAGCAAUCAUGGAGUGAGUGCUGCACUAAUGAAGGUAAGCGUAGUACAAGCAGGGCUGUGCCAAAACCCUGAAGGACACUGUAUUUCAAGAUGGUCCCAUACAUGACAGCUGAUGGUGGAAUUUUCCUGCUUGAGUGGCCAGACAUCCAUAGCAAGAGGGGAGUAGAAAUCCUUUCUUCUGUGUAUAAGGUAGGGGCAAGGAGGCAGCAGUUCCUCCCUCCUUGAGAGAUUCUCCUCCUGAUCCCAGCCUGGAGGCUGAUAGCGCUCAGCACUCAGCUUUUAAGACCUAGGGUUCUCUUCAGGGUCGGUCUGCCUCCUUCUUCACUGAUGCGUAAAGAGCUAGAAAGAGAAAGCUCAAGUUUUCCCCAGGGCAGUUUGGGUGCUAACCCAGGGAUCUAGUCCAGGACUCUAGCUGUUUUGACCUCUCCAAGAAGUAAGAGAUGUCUCACCCACCCUGGGUCAGAGCAAUUAACUCUGUUUUUCGCUAGUGUGGUAGAGAUGCGUACAGUGGUCACAGUGCAUUGAUAAUUUAUCAGAAGGACAAGUGCACUUGGUUUCCUUUCUCACCAGCUCAUAGCAAGAGUCUGAAAUCCACAAGCUGCCAGCAAGUUGCUUUAUCCUGCAUACCGUGCUUAUGUACUACCUGGGCACAGAUUUUCC